rnacentral:rRNA from 1 species
UGAAUACGAGACGCUACGGCGUCGAAGCAGUCUAUGUCAUACUUCCAAGAAAAGCUUGCACUGUCAUAAACAAAUAAUGCCUGUACCAUAACCGACACAGGUGGGUAGGUAGAGUAUACUAAGGGGCGCGAGAUAACUCUCUCUAAGGAACUCGGCAAAAUGACUCCGUAACUUCGGGAGAAGGAGUGCCUUAUUUAUAAGGUUGCAAUAACAAGAUCCAAGCAACUGUUUAUCAAAAACACAGGUCUCCGCUAAGUCGUAAGACGAUGUAUGGGGGCUGACGCCUGCCCAGUGCCAGAAGGUUAAAGAAGUUGGUUAGCAUUAGCGAAGCUGAUAACUGAAGCCCUGGUGAACGGCGGCCGUAACGAUAACGGUCCUAAGGUAGCGAAAUUCCUUGUCGGGUAAGUUCCGACCCGCACGAAAGGCGUAAUGAUUUGGAUACUGUCUCAGAGAGGGGCUCGGUGAAAUAGACUUGUCUGUGAAGAUGCGGACUACCUGCACCAGGACAGAAAGACCCUAUGAAGCUUUACUGUAACUUGAAAUUGAAAUUGGACUUUAUUUGCGCAGUAUAGGUGGGAGGCAUUGAUAAUAUUCUUGCGGGAAUGUUGGAGCCAUCAGUGAGAUACCACUCUUGUAAUGUUAGAUUUCUAACUUUGGAUCAUUAUCUGGUCAAAGGACAGUUUCAGGCGGGCAGUUUGACUGGGGCGGUCGCCUCCUAAAUGGUAACGGAGGCGCACAAAGGUUUCCUCUGAACGGGUAGAAAUCGUAUCUAGAGUGUAAAGGCAUAAGGAAGCUUGACUGUGAGACCUACAAGUCGAGCAGGGACGAAAGUCGGUCUUAGUGAUCUGACGGUGCUGAGUGGAAAGGCCGUCACUCAACGGAUAAAAGUUACUCUAAGGAUAACAGGCUGAUCUCCCCCAAGAGUUCACAUCGACGGGGAGGUUUGGCACCUCGAUGUCGGCUCAUCGCAUCCUGGGGCGGUAGUACGUCCCAAGGGUUGGGCUGUUCGCCCAUGAAAGCGGUACGCGAGCUGGGUUCAGAACGUCGUGAGACAGUUCGGUCCAUAUCCGGUGUAGGCGUUAGAAUAUUGAGAGGAGCCUUCUUUAGUACGAGAGGACCGAGAAGGACAUACCUCUGGUGUACCAGUUAUCGUGCCAACGGUAAACGCUGGGUAGCUAUGUAUGGAGAGGAUAACCGCUGAAAGCAUCUAAGUGGGAAGCCCACCUCAAGAUAAG